rnacentral:rRNA from 1 species
UACAGAGGGUGCGAGCGUUGUCCGGAAUCACUGGCGUAAGGGCGCGUAGGUGGCGACCCAAGUCGAUGGUGAAAGCUCGCCGCUCAACGGCGAGUCGGCCACCGAUACUGGGUUGCUGGAGCACUGUAGAGGCAGAUGGAAUUCCGGGUGUAGCGGUGGAAUGCGUAGAGAUCCGGAAGAACACCGGUGGCGAAGGCGGUCUGCUGGGCAGUUGCUGACACUGAGGCGCGACAGCGUGGGGAGCAAACAGG